UACGGGAGUGGCAAGCGUUGUCCGGAUUUACUAGGCGUAAAGGGCAAGUAGGCGGAUUUGUAAGUUUCAUGUUAAAGGCACUGGCUCAACCAGUGUAAGGCAUGAGAUACUGCAAAUCUAGAGUAAGUGAGAUGUAGCUGGAAUUUCUGGUGUAGCGGUGGAAUGCUCAGAUAUCAGAAAGAACACCAAUGGCGAAGGCAGGCUACAGGUGCAUUACUGACGCUAAAUUGCGAAGGUGCGGGUAUCGAACAGG
rnacentral:rRNA from 1 species